GACGAACGCUGGCGGCGUGCUUAACACAUGCAAGUCGAACGGUGAAGCUCCAGCUUGCUGGAGUGGAUCAGUGGCGAACGGGUGAGUAACACGUGAGCAACCUGCCCCUGACUCUGGAAUAAGCGCUGGAAACGGCGUCUAAUACUGGAUACGAGAAGGGUCCGCAUGGGCACUUUCUGGAAAGUUUUUCGGUUGGGGAUGGGCUCGCGGCCUAUCAGCUUGUUGGUGAGGUAAUGGCUCACCAAGGCGACGACGGGUAGCCGGCCUGAGAGGGCGACCGGCCACACUGGGACUGAGACACGGCCCAGACUCCUACGGGAGGCAGCAGUGGGGAAUAUUGCACAAUGGGCGAAAGCCUGAUGCAGCGACGCCGCGUGAGGGAUGACGGCCUUCGGGUUGUAAACCUCUUCCAGCAGGGAAGAAGCGAAAGUGACGGUACCUGCAGAAGAAGCACCGGCUAACUACGUG
rnacentral:rRNA from 1 species